GCUAGAACCUUACCAUCCAUGGGUGGUCUAUAAUACGUCAGACAUUCUAUUAGCCACUUUGUCUUUUGUUUUUAAUCCUUACAGUUUAUAGCUAUGCAUAAUUGACUUAUUCAUGGGAUAGGACUUCAAUUUAAACCAGUUACAUCAAUAGUAGCAGGAGAAACAUGGAGCCAGCAGGACCAGCAGCCUGAGCACCAUGAUCAAGAGCAAGAUCACAGGAGAAGGAGACAGACUCGGAUUUGAAUCCCAGCCGUGCCCUUUCAAUUAACAAAGCAAUUAACCCCUUUCUUCCUCAUCUGUGAAAUAGUCAUAACGAUGGUUUCGUAGAUUGUUUUGAGAAUGAUAAAAGGCCAUGUUUUCAAAAAGCAUGGUACAUAAUAAACAUUUACGGAUGUUAACAAAGGAAAAAACAAACGUUCUUUCUACAGAAACAUUCUUACAGCAGAGAGUGGUAUUUCAUCAUGCUAUUUUAGCUUAGUGGAAAUACCUCGUAAGAGCCUAUCACUGUCAUCAAAAAGCACUCUGAGUAACCUCCUAUGUUCUCUUGCUUUUUUGAAGAUGAAUUAACUCACCAGAUAGCAAAUAUGAUGCAAUAUAAAAUCAUACACCUGUAUUCUUGAUUUUAAAUCAGUUUCUUGUCAAAAAAAAAAAAAAAAAAA